GAACGCAAUAAUGCUGAACGCUAUUGAAAAAUAUUAUUAUAAUGACAUGCAAUUCCGAGCGAGGUUCCGCAUCUCUAAAGAAACGGUGUUGUGUCUGGAUUCAUAAUUUGGAAGCUCUUUGAAACCCCGCACCAAACGCCAUACAACCAGUGGACCAAAUACUUAUUAUAACCCUACUGUUCUACGCAACGGGAAGUUAUGAACGUGUAUACUAGGUGAUAUCUUCCACAUCGAACAGCCAACUGUGCAUCGUAUAGUGCACAAAGUAACAACCAAAAUAGCUGCUAUGAAAUCGCUUUACAUAAACAUGCUUAUUUCUGAGGAAUAAUAUGGGGACAUCGCAUAGUAGCAUUUCCAAGAGUUGUUGAUUUGUCAAUUUGAUGCUCUGUCAACAAUGAUAAAUGUCAAUUGUGGUUACGUUUCGGUCCACGAUCGCCACUUAAUAGAUUUCAACAAUAAAAAGUAUCACCUUUAAAAUUAUUUUUUUAAUUAAAUAAAAAUGCAAGCAUUAAUUUUUUUAUAUGAUAAAACGAGAUUUAUAUAUAAUA